CAUUAAAAACCCAGUGCAAUACUAAAAAAUAAACAAAUAAAUUGUUACAAAAUUAUGCCAUUUUAGAUCGUUUUACUUUAGUUCUCAAUGUACAAAACUUUACACAUUGUAAAAAACACAGCUUUUACCCAGAUUCCGUAGCUAAGUAAUGCCGUGUAGCAUCAGCAGGAGCUCAAACACAAGCAGAUGGGGAUUUGAAAAACAAACAUUAACGUUUCAUGCUGGAACAAACAAGAAUUCUUUUAACAUUGAGAUUCAUUAGAUAAUAAUAAAGUCAUUAACUGCAGGGCCUGUUUGUGGUACAGUUGUCAGAAAAAAUGUUAGAACAGCACACUAGCUUUUAUCAUCAUUCGCGACUUAUAUCUGAGCAAUUCUCUACUACAGACAAAGGCCUGAAGGUCAUUCAGUGAAGCCGAUUUUGUCUUAGUCCAGACUACAACAGAGAAACAAAAACAGGGGACACAAGGAGAGAAAACAUCACAAUAGACAACAAACGUUGCUUGAGGCUUAAAGUCAUCAAAGCUAUGAAUAGCUGUUUACAGAAGGGCUGCAUUUUUGUGCACAACCACACACAUCUUCACACUUAAAUAUCCAUGCAAACAUUGUUAGGCACUACCCGCACACACACAUAUUUAUGUAGAUUCACACCGACAACACAAAGGCAUACAUAUUUAAAAUGUGAGGCAUAGCUGCGCGCAUAAAAGCAUCUGUGUUUGUGCUAAGGUGAGCAAGCAGGUGUGUCUAGGUGAGUGUGUGUUAUUGGGACAAAGGUAUCCCUGUCAGUUUCUGUUAUGGUUUGACCGUGGGACUGCCUGGAAACAUGACUAAGAUGAAUAAAAUUCAAACCGACAUUUGAUACGAGAUUAAACAUUGUUCUUGCGCUGUGUGAAAUGUUGGUUCUUAAAAUAGAAAAUUCAGUUAAGAGAACGUUUCUUACCCUGAUUGGAGUUUUUUUUUCUAAAUUAAACAUUUGAAUUAUUCUGACAAGGGUGAUUUGGUUCUCAAAAAAUUAGCUUUUAAAAACAGGAGUAAGGCAGAACUCACAGCUUAGGUCUUCAAAACAAUUGUAAAUCAUAAGAAACCUGUAAAACACUUUGGAUGAUAAAUAUAUAAAUAUUUACACUGACAUGAACUGAAUGAUUCUGUCGCUGGUAGAUUUUUAUUGUAACAAUGUUCAUUUGAAAUAAUGUGUUAGUGUGAAUUAACAAUAAAAAGCUAAAUAAAAGAGAAACAAAUUCAAAUAGCUACAUACAAAACAACAAUGAUAAUAUUAAUGCUAAGUAAAUACACAAAUAAUGUCUCCUUGUAAGAAAGGAGUUUGCUUGAAUUAAGUUGUGGGAACGUUAGAACUUUAACCUUUAAAGGUUCUUUGGGUGUUGAAGUGAAAAAGGCAGAAACACUUUUUCAUCUGCAGAGACUCACAAUAGAGGAUAAAGCUGCACAUUCAUGCAGCAGAGCGUGUUGAAGCUCGUCUUGACCGCGUCAUGUGACAAGCGUGUGAUCCCACAACAUCCACUUAGUGCUUCCCGUCUGCUGGAGGAACGCCCCAGGAUGGGAGCCGUCGGAACGCGUCGGGAGGCCAAACCAGAAGCCAAACAUAAGCCUUAACACGUUUUUGAGUCACAAGGAAAGGAGACCGGGUGUUUCCUGCAACACGCUUGGGUUUCUGCAGAAGUCUGGAUGGCAAGCCCGGUCAGGUUCAAGGCAGCGUCUUCAGAGGAAGUGAACUGCCGAUGCUUUGCCCACACACUGAAGCUCCAGGUGGAGCUUGAUGUUCUAUUUUUUUAAGCAGAAAAACACUACCUGACAGCAGGAGAAUGUCAAAACAGACAGCUGCCCUUCUGAGCAUGCUCAGACUGAACACAUACAACAUAAAAAAAAGGGGUCCCAGAAAUUCUCAGUCACACCUCACCGCGUCAGAGCAGGACAAGUUCUCAGUUCAAACUGCCUCUGCCUUCAUUCUUGAGACUGAGAAACCUCACGGAGGAGUCCGUUUCCUCUACUGACAAGAGGAACAAAAGGGGGGUGCUGAUCACCAGCACUGACUGACAAUGACGGAGCCUGAUCUGUUCCACCACAGACACCACAAGUCUAAAGAUGCUCCAGAUCUGCACUGGCAUGUCUGUGUCUGUGAGGACGGAUGACGAGUGACGGGACACACGUGAAGAGCAGACAGAGCUGUGGUCCUGACGGUUCCCAACCUCCCCAGAAGAGAAACCUUUAAAUCUGCACUGGAGCUGCAGGAUGUGAUGCAUUGACUUCUCAAACAUGCAAACCUCCCAACAUGCACCAUUUUUGGUUAUGGCCUUGAUACUAAAGUCAUGGUUAUCUUGUUUAUGUUUCCAUUUGAUGAGUAGACAGGAAAAAAAAAAUCUCUAUAAUCUCAAAGAUAAAAACAUUAAAAAAAAA